AGAUUGAACGCUAGCGGGAUGCUUUACACAUGCAAGUCGAACGGCAGCGCGGACUUCGGUCUGGCGGCGAGUGGCGAACGGGUGAGUAAUAUAUCGGAACGUGCCCAGUAGCGGGGGAUAACUACGCGAAAGCGUGGCUAAUACCGCAUACGCCCUACGGGGGAAAGGGGGGGAUCGCAAGACCUCUCACUAUUGGAGCGGCCGAUAUCAGAUUAGCUAGUUGGUGAGGUAAAGGCUCACCAAGGCGACGAUCUGUAGCUGGUUUGAGAGGACGACCAGCCACACUGGGACUGAGACACGGCCCAGACUCCUACGGGAGGCAGCAGUGGGAAUUUGGACAAGUGGGGGAAACCUGAUCCAGCCAUCCCGCGUGUGCGAUGAAGGCCUUGGGUUGUAAGCUACGUUUGGCGAGGUAAGAAACGGCGUUAGACUAAUAUUCAGCGUCACGUGACGGUACCUGACAGAAUAAGACACCGGACUAACUACGUCG
rnacentral:rRNA from 1 species